rnacentral:misc_RNA from 1 species
UUAUUUAGUAGGAAAUUGCUUCCACCUUGCAGCGAUUUCGCACUAUCUUGGUGUGUUUCUUGGGUUUUAAGAAUUCUCGAGAUUAUAAAGGAUGUGUAACUGUGAAAUCAUAUGUUAAAGAUGGUACUCGGGUUAACUGAUUUUCCCAGUGUCUUAUUGGACUAUAGGCAUGUUUAUCAUAUCUUUUUUUUGCAGCAUAUAUUAUAACAAUCCAUAUAGCACACACUUUAGACAAAAUGGAAGAUUUGACAACUUUGCGAGAAACAGAACUUUUGAAAAUGUCGAUGAUGUUAUGUUUAGGAUGUUUUAACUAUUCUACGCUGAUGAUAACCCUUAUUCAGUGUGGCUGCAGCUUCUUCUCCAACGUAAAAUUUGUGAAUGUUGUUGUAUAUUAAACACACUUAUUGUAACUUCGCCUGACAGGCGAGUACAUAAAGGGAGAUAAGUCUCCGCACUUCAUGGAAACAGGGGACCUCUAGAUUUCAUUUUUUUAAAAAAGGGAUUAAAUGUAUGAUUUAUGUUGUUCUUUAGCAAAAUGUUUGAUAGAAUUCAAUGGUCUAUUAUUUUAUAUAGAUAUAUUCAGUGCCUGUACUCUCAUCUGUCAUCGGAAGAUCGAACCAAUCUUGCGGUACGAGCGGGUUGAUAUCUUAGCAACAGCGUUAUCACGUGGCCAGCAUGGUCGCCCCGGGAUUAGUGUAUGCAGUGCAAAAAGGCUUGUUAAGUAAACCUUUGUGUUUUUCAUGAACAACGUUCAUGACAUUUCGAACGUUCAUGAGCAAGGAUUAUCUGCGCAGUCGUAAAAAUGUUGCAUGUCACUACAGAGGUCGGAAAACCCGGCAAAAAAGAGAGAGAAAAGAGACAUUUUCCCUUUGUACAUAACAUCAAGAGUGACCCAAAAUAUAAACCUCGAGGGCGCAAGUAUAUUCCACACAAUUAUGGUACAGAUAUUGAUUGGGUCCCACAUGGACAGUAUAUUGAGCAUGAACCCACAGAAAGUGGCCCAGACUGGUCUUCUAGGCUAAGGUACAUCCCCGAUCCAGAGAAUCCUGACUAUCCUGCACCUGAAAUAUGGCCAAACAAUUGGAAAAGCAUGCGACCUUUUCCAUCCCCUCUACAAUUCUUGAACCAGAACAACAAUGGACUGGAUUCUGAUACUGAUGGAGAAACUUCAGAAUUGUACCUUUUUGGCGAUCGGGGAAAAAGAAAAUGGACGUACAUGCGCUCCAGCACUGAAUGGCUGUUAGAUCCAUCUCUGACAAAGCUUGGUAAACGGUGUGUCUGGAAUGGUGUACACAAAGCCUCUGCUAGGUCACAUGAUGAAAUCACACACACAGCAUUGUAUGGCAGAGUGCGGCCAGGUCUAUGCCAACAAACACGGGGUAUUGGUACUGUUUCAGAAUGGUUAAUUGACAAGCGUAACGGCUUACCACAGGUAUCACCAGGAGACAAUGGCUACCAAAUUCCUGAGUACUCUCCUGGUUUCCACAAGUUAGGCUCCACCCGUCCACUUGCUCGAUAUGGGUAUAACAAGUAGGAUAACUUCCAUCAUGUUGGUGAUGUCUAUGUGCUGUGGUAUUAUGCAAAACGGUAGUAUGGAUUGUGAAAUAAAUUUUGCAGCCCCCCUUCUCCUUACCCUUCUGGCACACCUUCGUACCAUUCACGCCAGUAUUUGGUCAAAGGAAAUCAUUUAGAAGCAAGAACAAGCAGCAUGACGAAGAAAUUGAGGAGGUGCGGCAGCUGGAGAAAUGGACACCAGC